UGGCAGCUUUGUUAUCACAGAACAAGAAUAAACCACUAGCUUCCAGCAGUUUCAAUUCCUCCGUCAACUUCCGGAACCAUGAUAGUUCAUAAAUACCUUGAGCCAUUGCUCUGAAUUCAGCCACUAUACUGGAUCUAGUCGUCACACUUUGCUUUUUGUUUCUCCAGGUGACUAGAUUACCAUCAAUAAAAGUACAGUAACCAAAUGUCGAUCACCUAUCAUCAAGAGAUCUAACCCA
rnacentral:misc_RNA from 1 species